AGCGUUGGCAGUUGCAACAGGCGCGCUCUGGGCGCUGCCGAUUUUUCGUGCGAUUCAUUGGAAUUCUUCGGUCACUGUUCUUUGUUAGUUGCUCGCGCUUCGUUGUGCAAAUGGACUUUUGCACCAAAAUGGAUGUGUGAUAUGUGGUUUUCGACAUAUUUUCGUGUAGUCUGCGGUGUUUUUGUGUGCCUUAUGCACAAUUGUUGUUGUGCUUUAUCUUGAAAUGCCGGAAUUUACGCGCUUGUAUCUUCGUGAUUAAUUUAUAGACGCUUCUCAGCACACUUAAUCGGGUUCAUGCGUUCACGCCUCUGCAAUUCCGCCAAACGCGGUGUUCAUUGUGAGUUUCGAACAAGCGAAAAGCAAGUUCAUAUGGUAUAUGGGCUCCCUUCGAUUUGUUCGCAAUAAAUUUGGGUAUACAUAUACGCCAGAACAACAUUUACAAAUUAUUCAGUUUACCACAACCUGUUGGAUUUUGAGAAAGGAUUUGGGCUUGCAUUCAUACAAAAUUAUUCUCACUCAAGAACUGAAGCUAUUGGACCACCGUGAAUAUCGUAAAUUUGCUGAUUUUAUCUUGGAACAGCUUGACGUUUUCAAGGAUUUUUUUAAGAAAAUCAUCUUAUCUGAUGAGGCUCACUUUUAUCUGAGUAGCACGAUUACUUUAGAAGAGGAAACCCCAAUCGGUACACUGAAAGAUCCACAACCUGCGAGUAGUCGUCUACCUCAACUCACAACUAAUUAAGUUAGAAAAAUAAUGCAUCCAAAUCUUCGGUAGUGUCCAAUGGUUACACGUUUGAAACAAAACCUGGUGUGAUCAGUUAACUCUCCAAUAAAUUCCAUAUCCUCCUUCUCACGCUGGCGGUCAUCUACAAACUCUUGCAUAAUAUUUAUUAUUAAUAUGCCACUUAUCAAUUUUUUCUACGAUUUUAUAGCAUCAAAGAGCGCGCCAUUCCUCAUUCUAAUUUUUCUCUCAAACAAACUACGAUGUAAGUACGAGUAUGUAAGAACAUGGCAGACACCCCGUUAUGUCGACACUUAACAAGCCCGCAAUGUGCUUAAGGGAUUAUGCCUCACACUGGUGAAUAUUGGACACCCAACAGAGUGUUAAGAAUCGGGCACUUCAUCAAAUUGCAACAAACAGCAAUCGAAAGGAAAUCGAAAAACUUCAAACAUUAGAACAAGCGGUACUUUGCUCAAUAGAUACAAUUGACGCUGAUGAUGCGAGCCACAAAAACACGAAGAUACUUGAGCUGUGCAUUUUUUUUAAAUACGUCACUUUGAUUAAUGAAUGCCGGAGAUUUUGGAAAACGAAUACAAUAACAACACUAACGAGUGGAUAUUUCAAACAGUUGUGUACAUUUCUUCCACUUUUUUUGGUUUUGGCAGCUAACAAGGAAUGCGCAGGAGCGCCGCUCGGGCAUGUGGCGGAGUAUGGAAAAAAUCGUACAUUACCGAAAUGCUGAAAUGUUUUCAUGUUUUCAUAUUCUACAGUCUCCCAGCCAGUCAUACUGACUUCAAUUAAAUAGCCAGAAAACAAAAGGGAAAAUAAAAUUUAAACAAUUCAGAAUUCCCUUUCUUCAGCAAUCGAAAAUAUGGAUGAAAAUGAAUAUUACGAGACACAAAUUAUGGUCAACAUAACCAGUCUACUAUUCGCAAAACCAUCACCCAUUUGGGAGCCAUCAUUAAUUAUUGGAAAAUUUUCGACCCGAAUGGAACACGUUCUGUACGCAAUGAAGAAAAUAUAGCAGCCACAGAUGAGAGUGUACACGCAGACCGUGGAGAGUCGAUCCGGCGCCGUUCGCAGCAACUCGAACUGACGUAUGGAACGACUUGGUGCAUUUUACGUCGAGAUCUUAAAUUGAAAGUCUACAAAAUACAGCUUUAAGCAAGAACUGAAACCGCCCGACCUUUUUAAGCGACGUCGCUUCGCUCUAUAAGUUAUGAAAAAUUCAAAAAAAUCCGACGUUUUAGAGCCAAAUUUUGUUCGGCGAUGAGGUCCAUUUCUGGCUCAAAAGCAAUACUGCUGUAUUUGGGACUAACAACAAGCUGAAGAGAUUCAAGAGCUGCCAUUUCAUCUAGAAAAAAACAACAAUUUGGUGUGGUUUGUGAGCCUGUGGACUCAUCGGUCCAUAUUUCUUCAAAAAUGAUGCCGAUGACAACGAACCGUCAAUGGCAACCGUUAUUGCGCCAAAAUUACCGACUAUUUGAUUGAAAAUGAAGCUCGUGAUCUCGGCGACAUUUGGUUUCAAGAAGACGGCGUCACACAUCUCAUCAAUCAAUGGUUUUAUUGAGAGAACGUUUCAAUCUUUUCCUGUGGGGAUAUAGAAUCUAAAGUCCAUGCGUAUAAUCCCGUUUCGAUUCCUUGCCUUGGAGCAAACCUGCACGUGUGUCAUUCGCCGGUUACCUGCCAAAAUGCUCGAACGCGUCAUCGAAAAUUGGACUCAACGGAUGGACCAUCUGAGACGUAGCCGCUGGCAACAUUUGAAAAAGAAAAUUAAACAAAAAAAUGACAAAGAUUGUUCUUUCGAAUGAUAAUAAACAU